GGGGCUGUAGCUCAGUGGCAGAGUGCUCGCCUAGCAUGUGUGGGGUACUGAGUUCGAUCCUUAGCACCACA
rnacentral:tRNA from 1 species